GUAGGUGGCAAGCGUUGUCCGGAAUUAUUGGGCGUAAAGCGCGCGCAGGCGGUCCUUUAAGUCUGAUGUGAAAGCCCACGGCUCAACCGUGGAGGGUCAUUGGAAACUGGGGGACUUGAGUACAGAAGAGGAAAGCGGAAUUCCAAGUGUAGCGGUGAAAUGCGUAGAGAUUUGGAGGAACACCAGUGGCGAAGGCGGCUUUCUGGUCUGUAACUGACGCUGAGGCGCGAAAGCGUGGGGAGCAAACAGGGAUUAGAUACCCUGGUAGUCCACGCCGUAAACGAUGAGUGCUAAGUGUUAGGGGGGUUUCCGCCCCCCUUAGUGCUGCAGCUAACGCAUUAAGCACUCCGCCUGGGGAGUACGGCCGCAAGGCUG
rnacentral:rRNA from 1 species